GCCUCCAUUCUCCACUGAGCAGAGAUUUGCUCUGGCACAGCUUGGCACUUGGAUGGCUGCCGUCCCGCUGCCAGCCGGGCUCGGGCGGUGGCAUGGGGACACAUGAGCCAUGGGCAGCAGCGCUGGGGUGCCGAAGGAGCUGGGCUGAGCCCCCACCUUGCAGCCUGGGGUGUGCAAGCAAUCUGAGCAAGUCAACUGAAAAGAUGUGGCCAUUUUGGGGACUGGACCUGAACCGAGCCCGCUGUGACCUGCUCUUCACAGAAGCCAUCAAUCAAAGGAUGCAGGUUCCCAACAGGCUGAAGGUAGCAGACAGCCUCAGCCCUGUGGACGAGGAGCCAGUGACAGAGGAUGGCUCCCCUUCCUUUCAGAUGCACAUCCCUGAUAGGAUUUCUCUUGCAGAAACAGAUGCUGGUUUGAGGCCCAACCUGCAGAAGAAGGUCCCCUCUGUUGUGGUGCACAUGUCCCCGGAUGCCUCUGGGCAGCCCACCCACCUCGAGGAGCUCCCUUUUCUGCAUGUAGCCAACAGAUCAAGCUCCCAGAAACGCAAACGAUUGGGCCACCACAGCAGCAGGUCACGGCGGGAGAGGACUCCAAAUGACUGUGCCCAGCUGGCCUUGCACAGCCCAGGCCAGCACCACGAGCGGCUGGAUGCGUGCCCCCUGCCUGUGCGCAGUGCCCCUCUCCCUGUCCUUACGGAGAUGGGCAGGAUCUACUCCAUGCAGAACAUCUUCAGGACCAUGUACCUCCUGGGCCAGGUGCUCUUCCACCGUGUCUGGGACUCUCUGCAAGGCUCAGUGCCAUCCAGGUGACUUCGGCUUCUGUUGAGCCACCUCCCUGUCAUUCUGCAGGGACUUGCCUUUGCCUCGCUAAGGCGUGAGCCAGGCAUGAGCUCCGUGAACCGCAGGCUGCGCAGUGCAGGAGCAGGCUGCACGCCUGUCCCAGGCUCUCGCUCUCGCCUGUCCUGUCCAGCAGCUCUGGGUGCCUGGCCCAGGAGUGCUUGGUGCAGCCAGCCUGGGUGCAUCCUGCUAACCCAGCCCAGCUGGUUUCUCCUGCUUAGCUUAACACCGGUCCCCUGGGCACCCUGAGGGAUCUAACACCGUCUGUGAUGUUGCUGGGAUUUCAGCUGCUCUUCACUGCUAAGCAAGUGCUAAUUUUUAUGCAUGCCUUGGUAGCUCGAUGGAGAGAAAUGUGUGAAGGGAAUCAAAAUCUAGAAAAGACAGCCUGACCCAGGUCCUGUCCCUGAGACACCUUCUCCUUCAGGCUCCCAGUACCCUUGGCUGUGUCUUGGUUGAUCUUAAUUAACAUUUUCCACGAACUGGCUCCACCAAGACACUCAUCUUGUAGCUGAUGCCGCUGGCCAGGGGCCAGUAUGGCCACGUGCUCACCGGAGCAGGUAUGCAACAAACUCGAGUCUCUCCAGAUGUGCUGGAGCAACUAUCUCCACCGUGCUCUUAUGUGUGCAAGUGCAGUAAAUUUAACACAUUCAAAGACAACUUAUAGCCUUAAGGUGUCCCCACUGCUCAAAGGCUGCUGAGUACCUGGAGGAACAUCCACAUACUUCUAAUUCUCCUUGAGCAAAGCCUCCAGGCAGAAAGGGAGGAGAGUGAGCAUCCAUCUUCGGUUCCCUCGGUGGCACAUCCUACCUUCCCUCCCCAGCUGGCAGCAGAGCUGGCUUCUGCCUGUGGUGUCCCUGCUUUUAACCAUAGUAGGCUGACUGUCUUCAGAUAGCGCUUUUUUUUUUUUAAAAAAAUAAUUAUUUUCUUGUAAUGAAGCCUGGACAUACUAGCAGGUCUGGUUAGUGGCUAUGUAAGACCUUCUCCCAUCAGCAGCAGAGGAGGUUUAGGCCACGGUACCACGAGAGGUGGUAGCUUGUGGAGCUGCUGUAAUGCGGUGGGGUGAGUCCUGGGCCUCUCCCCAGGUCUCCAUCUCCCUUUGAAGCCAGCCACCUUGCAGUGCCUCUUCUUGGUACUUCAGAUGCAUAUAGUAUCUCUUCAAUAGGGCAACUUUGUACCCCUAUGCAACAAUAAAAAUAAAAAAAAAAUCACUGAGCUGACUUUUUUUUGUCCUGAAAUUUUAGUAAAGAAAGUAUGAUCUAGGACAGAGACUGGAAUAUUUGCCUGACCGUGACCUCUUGAAGGGUAUGAAUCAUUGGAAGGUAAUUUCUAGCCUGUACUCUAAGGGGUGUUCACCUGCAUCAACAGAUUUUUCAGUCAAAAGCUGCAGGAUAUGUCCUUUUUUAAUGGCUCUGUGUUGGGGGAAAUUGGAUUUUCUUUCUGUUGUUACUUUCAUUUUACACUGCAGCUGCUCUACGUGGAGGUAUUAUCUCGCAAAUGUGUUUUCAGUGAGAGAUUCACUGAAUCUCCCCAUGCUGUUCUGGCUGUCUUCAGCGAGAUCAACAUCAUGUUGCAAACAGGAAUAAAUACCCUCUCCUUCCCCAAGGUCUCCGAAGGAGCAGUGUCAGACACUGAUUAACCCAUAUGGUGUCAGCGAGUGCCCAUGUGAGUUGUCGGUGUGCAUAGGGGAGUUUUGGUUAUAGAAGAACCGAUGUAGGGCUGGGCUAUGAUGAUAGGAACAACAGACCGAAUGUGGCAAUUUUUGUUUUUCUCACUGUAGCUCAGCGCUGUGGGCCCUGCAGCAAGGCUGCGUCUCUAGGGGAUGCCCUGGAGAUCCGUGGUCUGUGUUGCCUCUGCCAGUGCAGCAGCUAAUCCCGAUGGUGGCCUCUUUGUUUCCAGGGAUCGAAGAAAGUGGUGCAUGCUUGGGUUGCUUGUUUACAUUUCAAGUUGUGGGUAAAAUCUGCUAUAAGAGCAAGAAGUGAUACCAUUUUUGUUGGUGGGUGGGGAAAGUGAGUUUGUGGUAUCUGGAAAAUACUGGAGAGGAACAAAUCCUUGUCUCGGCAAACACAGGACCCUUUUCUGCUGGCUGAUGCACUUGCUCAGAUAGUUCCCCCCAGCUGAUGGCCGCUUCCCAGCAGCGGGAUGCUCACCUGCUGGUGUAAAUGAGAUCAUCCCUCCAUUUCGGCAUUGGCCCUGUGAUACGUAUUUACCUGACUGGCUCUAAAGGUGAUUUAUCCAACCCUCAAAGAAUUCCUCUGACUAUAGAGAAUGGAUACUUGCUCCCAGGAGGCUGGCCCAGCUCCAGAGAGUGCCUUGGAGGAGGUCGGGGUGGCUGAGAUGGCAGCAAUGAGGAAGCAGUUGAUGAAGAUCUCAGGGAGGCUCCGUGUGUUGGAGGAGCAGUGCAAUGCCUGGCGGC